rnacentral:rRNA from 1 species
GUGUCAGCCGCCGCGGUAAGACAGAGGGUGCUAGCGUUGUUCGGAAUUACUGGGCGUAAAGGGCGCGUAGGCGGCUUGUUUAGUCGGGUGUGAAAUCCCGGGGCUCAACCCCGGAACUGCAUUCGAUACUGGCAGGCUAGAGACCGGAAGAGGUGGGUGGAAUACCCAGUGUAGAGGUGAAAUUCGUAGAUAUUGGGUGGAACACCGGUGGCGAAGGCGGCUCACUGGUCCGGUUCUGACGCUGAGGCGCGAAAGCGUGGGGAGCAAACAGGAUUAGAAACCCGCGUAGUCC